GCCCAGAAGCCUGUUGUCUCUAACUGUACAGGAGACUUCUCUGCCUGUGCUGGGAAAGGGGCUUUUCUUUUGUUUUGCAGAUACAUCUACCCACCGAGUGACUUGAAUUUUUUCCCUCGAACAUGACUCCAGGCUAUGCUUUUAUUAGCCUGGCUGGGGGCAGGGCGACUCUCUAAACCCUGCUUGGCUGCUUGCCUCCUUCUGUGAGAGCAGAGAUGAAGCCUCAACACAGCCGAAGGAGUUGGGAACAUGGGGACACACUGACUUCAGUCCAACUGCUAUAGUAUAUGAAUGAUGAGCUAGCUAGUCUGCACCAAGAAGAGGGGUGCACUCAUUGCUGGGGGGCAUGGGAGGAGGCUUCACAGAGGAGAUGACAUCUGAGCUGGCUAGCGAAGACUGUAGGAAUCUUAGAGGUGGCGAACAAGGGGAGGGACAGCGCUUUCCCCUCUUCAAGAACAGCAUGUGUGAAGUCAUGGAGGCAUGAAAGGACAGAGGGUGUCCAGAAUGGUCAGGAUUGGGUAUGGCUGAAAGGAAGAGUGUAGGGGUGGAGUGGCAGGGGAAGGGAACACAGCAGGGACAGUCUCUUAUGUCCCCUUGCCCUCUGCCUGUUUGUCUCUGCCUUUGGCUGUGGAUCAGCAAAAGCUGGUGGUGAGGUGCAGGUGGGGGGUGGCUGGGACUGGCCUGGGGCGAGAAGAGCAGAUGGACCCUGCAGGAAGAGUGGGGAGUGCAGAGGAUUGGGAAGCUCUUUAUGACCUUCGUGCAUUUCAGCUGGUUUUCUCCUGAGAGAAUCAACAUUGUCAAAAAAUGUAAACAAUUGCAUUAAAAAUGUACAACAAAGUUAUUUAGUUUGUUUAGACUACUUAAAGGCAUCAAAUAGGCCCAUACUCACCAAGCAUGUUAACUGAGUCUAUUUUGUACCAGACACUGUGCUGGGAGAUAGGACACUCCCUCACACAAUGCUGCAGGGCUGUUGUGAUUAAAUUUGAGAGGGCCCGAAAGGUAGCUCAAUUGGUUAGAGCAGGUUUGAUCUGUGGUCGGG